rnacentral:rRNA from 1 species
UACGGAGGGUGCGAGCGUUUGUCCGGAAUCACUGGGCGUAAAGGGCGCGUAGGCGGCUUGGGAAGUCCGUGGUGAAAGCUCGUGGCUCAACUGCGAGUCGGCCAUGGAUACUCCUAAGCUCGAGUCGACUAGAGGCAGAUGGAAUUCCGGGUGUAGCGGUGGAAUGCGUAGAGAUCCGGAAGAACACCGGUGGCGAAGGCGGUCUGCUGGGGUCGAACUGACGCUGAGGCGCGACGAGCGUGGGGAGCAAACAGG